rnacentral:lncRNA from 13 species
AAAUAGAACAUUCUACUCUGAGGUGGACGUUUGGCUGACACACAGUACAAUGGAAUCCUGUACUGGUCUCAAUGGUGUUGUCUGUUCCAGACAGUCGUUUAGUUAUAGGGUGGCGCACAAUUGGCCCAGCGUCGUCCGGGUUAGAGGAGGGUUGGCCGGGGUAGGCCCUCAUUGUAAAUAAGAAUUUGUUCUUAACUGACUUGCCUAGUUAAAUAAAGGAUGAAUGAAAUAAAUAGUUACAGCAAUCUUCUACUCUCUUAAUUCCAUAGCACCCAGAUUCAUCAGUAUAACUAGGUGUCCCCAAAAUGGAGUUCAUUGUCUGUCUGUGAAAUUAAAUGAAGGCUAAGGGAAUGAUGUUUAAAUUUACAACAAAUGCUCUCUGUCCUACAUCUUCUUUCUUUCUCUCCUUGCUCUCUGCAGACAGAGGGGAGAGGCAACGGACGAGUGAUCCAGUCCUAUCCAUCCAUCAUUGAGAACCAGGAGGAAGAGGAGGAGGAAGAUGAGUUGGCAUCUGUAUCUCCGGAAUUGGUGCGCAACAGCGUCCUGUACACUAGAGAGGUGUCUUCUGGGAAGUCUCCAUCGGGUAGAGCCGGGAUGGAGAGAGAGUUGCAUAGCGGCAGAGAAGUAACACACCAGAGCACUAGGAAACUGAGGGAGAAGAUCCAGAUCCGCCAGACAGCUGUCACCACGCUAGACCCCUCCAACCUCAGCCCUAGGGUUGUGGACGGUACAGAGGAUACUGAAGGUACAGAGACGUCUCCACUGUUCUCCUUCUCUCCUAGCCGAGCCUGUCCAGUCAGCGGUCCAGGGAAUGCACCUGCCACAUUUACAGAUAUUCUCCAGAUCAGCACAGCAGAGUCAGCAGCUAAAGCUGAGGAGACCUGGGGACAACUACGGCACCUAGACCAGGAGGGAGGACAGUGUUUGACAGGUUGUCUCUCAGUGUGGUUCCCGGUGGUAACUGUAAUCCUUACUUGAGCCAGUCCACGCUGGUCACCACGGGACAUGGAAGAGGGGCUGGGGAUUAACCCAUAACCCUCGUCUCACAUUAAAUCAAUACCAUGCACGUUGAUCCAAACAUGUUGUAUCACUUGUUACAUUACAUAGAGGUACACUAAAACUUCUUAAGAGCAGCCAAAAGUGAUUUUACCAGUUAUUACCUUAUUCCUUAUUUAGUUCAUGUUAUUUCAUCUAGCUCAUGUGCCACGACUAAAUAUGUGUAAAUGC